GAGUCAACGCUCUCAUCUUCGUCGGGCUGGACCGAGUGACCAACUUUGACAGAGUGAUGCAGCUGGAGUUUGGCCGUGGCUUCACCUACAACAGGCCACUCAGAGUUAAUCUGCUGGACUUGGAUUUCGAGCUGGCAGAGCAGCUUGACAACAUCGCAGAGAGGACGUGCUGCAAGGUCCCCUGCAAGUGCUCAGGACAGAGGGGGGACAGAGGUGUGCCAGGCCCUAUAGGACCAAAGGUAGGUCACUCCAUCUGGGGAUGAGGAGUCCCUGUGCACAGGAGCCUGGUGGUGACGUGCAGGUCCUGUAGUUGCAGUGGGUGAUGUUAAUGGGGAGAUCAGCUCCAUUUACUCUCCCCCUUUGAAAACUGACCCUGGGACAUGCAGAGCAAUAGAGAGCUGCUCUUCUUCCCUUUCCCCACAGCCUCAGUGCUGCAAAACAUCCAAGAGGGCAGGGAUAAAUGGCUGGAAAGACAGGGUGAAACAUCCUGUGAAACAAUUUAGGGAUAUCAAAAGGAGAUUGUAUCUCUCAUUAACACAUAUGGCCAAGCAGCUGCUUUGUCCUUAUCUAAGAAAACCUUGAAUAUCAACCGCAGAACCAUGAAGGGAGUUAAUAAUUUUCUUUGUUGUCUUCUAGGGUGUCACAGGGGAUCUUGGCUACGGAGGCUACCCUGGUGAUGAAGGAGGACCGGGUGAGCGUGGACCUCCGGGUGUGAAUGGGACACAAGGUUUCCAGGGAUGCCCCGGGCACAGAGGAACAAAGGGUUCUCGGGGAUUCCCAGGAGAGAAGGUAGGGAGCUAUUUCCUCAUGCCACAGCAGUGGAUAAUGAGUGUGUGGCAUAUCAGUAUCCCCCUCCCCAUUCCCCCUCCCUCUCAGUGAGCAUUUGCCCCUUGCCUCCCUUCCACAGGGUGAACUGGGAGAAAUGGGUCUGGAUGGCAUUGAUGGAGAAGAGGUCAGUAAUUUUAAUUGUUUUUCUCUUAAUGACUUGA
rnacentral:lncRNA from 14 species